UACGUAGGUGGCGAGCGUUAUCCGGAAUUAUUGGGCGUAAAGAGCGCGCAGGUGGUUGAUUAAGUCUGAUGUGAAAGCCCACGGCUUAACCGUGGAGGGUCAUUGGAAACUGGUCGACUUGAGUGCAGAAGAGGGAAGUGGAAUUCCAUGUGUAGCAGUGAAAUGCGUAGAGAUAUGGAGGAACACCAGUGGCGAAGGCGGAUUCCUGGUCUGUAACUGACACUGAGGCGCGAAAGCGUGGGGAGCAAACAGGAUUAGA
rnacentral:rRNA from 1 species